rnacentral:rRNA from 1 species
UACGUAGGGUGCGAGCGUUGUCCGGAAUUAUUGGGCGUAAAGGGCUCGUAGGCGGUUUGUCGCGUCGGGAGUGAAAACCUCGGGCUUAACUCGGGGCUUGCUUUCGAUACGGGCAGACUGGAGGUAUGCAGGGGAGAACGGAAUUCCUGGUGUAGCGGUGAAAUGCGCAGAUAUCGGGAGGAAUACCGGUGGUGUAGACGGCUCUCUGGGAAUGUCCUGACGCUGAGGAGCGAAAGUGUGGGGAGCGAACAGG